CGAGCGGCAACCUGACCACUAAAACGCUUUACGGGCUGGAAAGCAGCGGAAAGGAGAGCGUUUUAGUGGUCAGGCGAGAGCGGCGGACUGGUGAGUAACGCGUGGGUGACCUGCCUUGAGGCCGGGGAUAGCCGUUAGAAAUAGCGGGUAAUACCGGAUACGGUUGCCGGGCUAUGGUCUGGCAAAGAAAGGGGCUUAGGCCCCGCCUUGAGAUGGGCCCGCGUCCUAUUAGGUAGUUGGUGAGGUAAAGGCCCACCAAGCCUGAGAUAGGUAGCCGGCCUGAGAGGGUGAACGGCCACACUGGGACUGAGAUACGGCCCAGACUCCUACGGGAGGCAGCAGCUAAGAAUAUUCCGCAAUGGACGAAAGUCUGACGAAGCGACGCCGCGUGGAUGACGAAGGCCGAAAGGUUGUAAAAUCCUUUUGCGGACGAAGAAUAAGCGUGGCAGGGAAUGGCUGCGUGAUGACGAUAGUCCGUGAAUAAGCCCCGGCUAAUUACGUGCCAGCAGCCGCGGUAACACGUAAGGGGCGAGCGUUGUUCGGAAUUAUUGGGCGUAAAGGGCGCGUAGGCGGCUCUGCAAGUCCGGCGUGAAAGGCGUGAGCUCAACUCACGGACUGCGCUGGAAACUGCGGGGCUUGGGUCAUGGAGGGGUAGUUGGAAUUCCGCGUGUAGGGGUGAAAUCUGUAGAUAUGCGGAAGAACACCGGUGGCGAAGGCGAACUACCAGCCAAUGACUGACGCUGAGGCGCGAAAGUGCGGGGAGCAAACAGGAUUAGAUACCCUGGUAGUCCGCACUAUAAACGAUGCACACUAGUGUUGGGCCGAGCGGUUCAGUGCCGGAGCGACGCGAUAAGUGUGCCGCCUGGGGAGUAUGCCCGCAAGGGUGAACUCAAGGAAUUGACGGGGCCCGCACAA
rnacentral:rRNA from 1 species